UACGGAGGGGGCUAGCGUUGUUCGGAAUUACUGGGCGUAAAGCGUGCGCAGGCGGUUUUGUAAGCCCGAUGUGAAAUCCCCGGGCUUAACCUGGGAAUGGCAUUUGGGACUGCAAGGCUCGAGUGCGGCAGAGGAGACUGGAAUUCCUGGUGUAGCAGUGAAAUGCGUAGAUAUCAGGAGGAACACCGAUGGCGAAGGCAGGUCUCUGGGCUGACACUGACGCUCAUGCACGAAAGCGUGGGGAGCAAACAGG
rnacentral:rRNA from 1 species